GCACAGGAGACAAUAAGGGUGCACGGUGGAUGCCUAGGCUUGCGACAGCGAUGAAGGACGCGACUAAUCAGCGAAAUGCUUCGGGGAGACGAUUUGUAGUCUUUGAUCCGGAGGUGUCCGAAUGGGGAAACCCGGCCAGCAAUGGUCACCCAGCUUUUAAGCUGAGGAGCGAACCCAGGGAAGUGAAACAUCUCAGUACCUGGAGGAAUAGAAAACAACAACGAGUUGCGUUCCGUCUAUUCGAUGCUUCGAGUAGAUGGAACGCGACUCUCGUGAUUCCCUAAGUAGCGGCGAGCGAAACGGGAAUAGCCCAAACCGGGUACUUCGGUAUCCGGGGUUGUAGGGCGGAAGCGCCGUAUUUAUACGGCAUAAGUUACAAAAGUUCUACAUAGCAGAAGAAGCUGGAAAGCUUCGCCCCAGAGGGUAAUGGCCCCGUAUGCGAAAUGUAAAACUCUUAUGCGCUUCCGUUCCUGAGUAGUUCGAGACACGAAUAGCUCGGAUGAAUCUGCCAGAACUAACUGGUAAGGCUAAAUAUGUCGCAGGACCGAUAGUGAACUAGUACCGUGAGGGAAAGGUGAAAAGAACCCCGAGAGGGGAGUGAAAUAGAACUGAAACCGUGUACUUACAAAGGGUUAGGGUGGGCUCCGGUCCAUCCUAGCGUGCCUAUUGAAGAAUGAGCCUGCGAGUUUAUGUAUGUCGCUUCGGCUAAAUCCGUUACGGGAUGGAGCCAUAGGGAAACCGAGUGUUAAUAGCGCGCCCGUGUCAUACAUAAGACCCGAAGCCAAGUGAGCUUGCCAUGAGCAGGAUGAAGUCUGUCGAAAGACAGAUGGAGGUCCGAACCCGUAGAUCGUACAACGUCUUGGGAUGACUUGUGGUAAGGAGUGAAAAGCUAAUCGAACUUGGUAAUAGCUGGUUCUCUCCGAAACAUCUUUUGGGAUGGCGUCGUGUGUUCCCCUUGGGGGUAGAGCACUGGAAGGGAUGAACAGGGAGAAAUCUCGUCAUUCCUAUCAAACUCCGAAUACCAAGGAUUAUGAGCGCGGCAGUUAGACGGUGGGGGCGAAGCUCCACACGUCGAAGGGGGAAGAGCCCUUGAUCGCCAGUUAAGGUCCCAAAAUUUACGCUAAGUACAACUUAAGGAAGUGAGGAUUCUUCGACAAUGAGGAUGUUGGCUUAGAAGCAGCCAUCAUUUAAAGAAAGCGUAACAGCUCACUCAUCGAGAGUCCUUGCGCCGAAGAUAAUCGGGGUUAAGCGUAAUACCGAAACUGCGGGUGUGCAUGUCUUCCGAGACGUGCACGCGGUAGGAGAGCGUUCCGUUCUGCUGUGAAGCUAAAGGGGUGACCCAUAGUGGAGCGUACGGAAGUGAGAAUGCAGGCACAAGUAACCACAACGCGGGUGAGAACCCCGCGCGUCGAAAGAACAAGGUUUCCUCAGCUAUGGUGAUCAACUGAGGGUUAGUCGGGCCUUAGGGGAUGGCGAAAGCCGCACCUGAUGGACACAGGGUUAAUAUUCCCUGACCGAUCAUAUGUGCGAUGGAGUGACGGAUUGCUGUAUCUAUGGCCCAUUAUUGGAUUUGGGUUAGUGCCGUGAGGAGGUCUGGUAGGCAAAUCCGCCAGACAUUACUCCGAGCGGAAAAACAAUGUCCUUCCACGGAGGGACAGAGCAUAGAGAGCGCGGUUCCAAGAAAAACUUCUAAGCUUCAGCAUAUGACGACCGUACCGCAAACCGACACAGGUGUUCAGGUCGAGUAGACUAAGACGAACGAGUUAGAGGUCCUCAAGGAACUCGGCAAAAAAGCGGCCGUAAGUUAGCGAUAAGGCCUGCUCUGGGCAACCAGAGCCGCAGCGAAAGAUUUUCUGCCAACUGUUUAUCAAAAACACAGCUCCCUGCGAACUCGUAAGAGGAUGUAUAGGGGGUGACGCCUGACCAAUGCCGGAAGGUCAAGCGCGGGAGGUACAUUGAUUUAUUGAUGUGCUGGACCGUAUAAGCCCCGGUGAAUGUCGGCGAUAACUAUAAUCGUCCUAAGGUUCUGCGUAUGAGCAAUCGUACGCAGAACGGAUUGGGGCGGUUAUAGGAGACCGUAAACAGUGUUGAGAGACUUGCGUCAUUAAAAGCUACCUCUUCAAACCGAAAGGUUUGUUGGAUCCACGACUCAAAUGAGAGGCCAUACGUCGUGCCCCCAAGCAAUUGGGGUGAAGAUAUGGUCCUGCUUGAAGGAAUAGUAGAGCGUAAUUCCUUGUCUGGUAAGUUCAGACGUGCACGAAUGGCGUAAUGAGUGGAAAACUGUCUCGAGGACUUGCUCGGUGAAAAUGCAAUACCGGUGAAGAUGCCGGUUACCUGUAGUUAGACGAAAAGACCCCAGGAGCUUUACUACAGCUUGGUAUUGGGGCUGCGUGAUAUAUGCGUAGCAUAGGUGGGAGACUUUGAAGCAUACCUUUCGGGGUGUGUGGAGUCGCCAGUGAAAUACCACUCUUAUAUUGUGCAGUCUCUAACCCGCGUAAGAACUACGUGGGAACAGUGCCUGGCGGGUAGUUUUGGUGGGGCGCUAUCCUCCUAAAAAGUAACGGAGGAGUCUAUUAAGGUUGGCUAGGCGCGAAUGGAAACCGUGCCGAUAGUGUAAUGGCACAAGCCAGCUUAACUGUAAGGGGUACAUCCCGCACAGAUGCGAAAGCAGAGCAUAGUGAACCGAUGGUACGCCUUAGAUGCGGCCAGAGAUUAACGGAUAAAAGUUACCCUGGGGAUAACAGGCUAGUUCCGCCCAAGCGUCCAUAGCGACGGCGGAGUUCGGCACCUCGAUGUCGGCUCACCUUAGCGCGGGGCUGGAGAAGGUCCCAAGCGUAUGGCUGUUCGCCAUUUAAAAAGGUACGCGAGCUGGGUUCAAACCGUGAGGGGAUUGAAUAGCAAUAUUUGAUUCUCUCACCGUUUGAAUCCCUUCGAGAUUUCUGUUAUCAGAACCGAUAAAGUGCGAUGUGAAUGUCUUUUCGUCUUGAAACUAAGAUAGAACCAACCAUGACACGGCGGUUGUAUGCAGCAAUGUAUACAAGCAAGCUGACUCAUAUCGGUGGAACCCUACUCGUAAGAGGGGCAACACCGAGGGAAUCCUGAAAGGGAGCCCGUAGAGACUGAACGUCAGACAUCCUUUGGGAUGAAUUUACAGUCCGAUCCUUGGAGUAAUCCAAGUAAACGAAAUGCGUGAGACAGGUUGGUCUCCUAUCUACUACAGGCGUUGAUUCUUGAGGAGACUUGCCCCUAGUACGAGAGGACCGGGGUGAACUGACCUCUGGUCUACGAGCUGUCACGCCAGUGGCAUCGCUCGGUAGCUAUGUCGGGAACUGAUAACUGCUGAAAGCAUAUAAGCGGGAAGCAAACUCCAAGAUUAGGAAUCGUUAUGAGGCUCCUAGAAGAUUACUAGGUUGAUAGGCUUUAGAUGGAAGCGCAGUGAUGCGUUGAGUCGAGAAGUACUAAUAUGCCCAGACUUCUGUGCGG
rnacentral:rRNA from 1 species